rnacentral:rRNA from 9 species
UGAGGCAGGCUUGUGUUUUUUUCUAUGAGGAUGUAUGUGUCUGAUGAGAAGGUUAUUUCAGCACGAGAGGAACAAACAA